AUUGAACGCUGGCGGCAGGCCUAACACAUGCAAGUCGAACGAGUGGCGGACGGGUGAGUAAUGUCUGGGAAACUGCCCGAUGGAGGGGGAUAACUACUGGAAACGGUAGCUAAUACCGCAUACCAUCGGAUGUGCCCAGAGGGGCUUAGCUAGUAGGUGGGGUAACGGCUCCCCUAGGCGACGAUCCCUAGCUGGUCUGAGAGGAUGACCAGCCACACGGGAACUGAGAAACGGUCCAGACUCCUACGGGAGGCAGCAGUGGGGAAUAUUGCACAAUGGGCGCAAGCCUGAGGCAGCCAUGCCGAGGGUAUGAAGAAGGCCUUCGGGUUGUAAAGUACUUUCAGCGGGGAGGCGUUACCCGCAGAAGAAGCACCGGCUAACUCCGUGCCAGCAGCCGCGGUAAUUC
rnacentral:rRNA from 1 species